rnacentral:rRNA from 1 species
CACGUAGUUAGCCGGGGCUUCUUAGUCAGGUACCGUCAUUUUCUUCCCUGCUGAUAGGGCUUUACACACCGAAAUACUUCUUCACCCACGCGGCGUCGCUGCAUCAGGGUUUCCCCCAUUGUGCAAUAUUCCCCACUGCUGCCUCCCGUAGGAGUUUGGGCCGUGUCUCAGUCCCAAUGUGGCCGUACACCCUCUCAGGCCGGCUACUGAUCGUCGCCUUGGUAGGCCGUUACCCUGCCAACUAGCUAAUCAGACGCGGACCCAUCUCAUACCACCGGAGUUUUUCACACAAAACCAUGCGGUUUCGUGCGCUUAUGCGGUAUUAACAGCCGUUUCCAACUGUUAUCCCCCUGUAUGAGGCAGGUUAUCCACGCGUUACUCACCCGUCGCCACUCAGUCAAAUGCUGCUUCCCUUUGAGCAAGCUCUCCAGUCCGCUGCAAGUGCUUCGUUCGACUUGCAUGUGUUAAGCACGCCGCCAGCGUCAUCCUGAGCAGGAUA